GGGUGGUUGCGCUUGCGCUGUGUAGUUGGUGCGGGCGGGGCUGUGUCGUGUCCCGCCGCCGAUGCCAGCCCUGGUUUCCAGACAUGCUUACCAACCUGAUAUGAUGAAGGGAAGGACUAAUGGAUACCCCCCUCAGCAUGAAACAUGCUGGAGCUGAGGAGCAAGGACAGACCUGCUGUGACCUACAAGAACCUCCAGUCUUGCCUGCACAGGACAGUGCUUCUGCUUUUCUCCUUUCCUGCUGUCUGCUGCUACGCUCCAGAGAAGCCAAGUUACAGCAGGACCAUAGCAGGACAACUGACAUGCGCUUAUACACCUGGAAGGGGAAGGAGGUCCUGGCCAUGCCCUGCUCUUGGCUGUAAGGCUCACCCAAAUCAGCUGCAGCGGGGCAGGAUGAGAACUGAAGCUUCAGUAAGCACUCGGUGCAUUUGGCUGGGGGGGUCUUGUACCACCAGGAAACUGUUCUGGACAGUCCCCCUACCUACCUGCAAAAAAAUGAGAGAAAAUGCAUAAUAUCCUGCGUUAUUCAAGUCCCCUGCUCCAAGUGACACUAGCACAGGUUUUUAGGCUGCUUUUAGUGCUUUUUGACAGAGGGGGGAGCUGUCAGCUCACCAGUGAACUGCUCAGCAAGCAGAGAUCCCACCUGGGAGCUGGUUAAGCUGCCUGGGUGGCCCACUGAAGGAGGACGGUAAGCCUGACUUGCAGGAGGUGGAUGCUAGCCUGAAAAUGCUUAAAUCUUUUGCUUUAAGAUUAAAUGCUUAAAUCUUUUGCUUUUGUAUGGGGCGUUUUGUGUCUCUGCACAAUGAAAACCACAAUAACUAGUCAGUGGGCCUGAGAAGCUGUUUGGAGGUGAAACAUUUGGCAGUGGGGUCCUGCAGUUUUUGUUGCUGUAGCGAUGUCCCCCUCCGUUGCACCAAAAGCCCCUGGAAAAGUGCAGCCUGUGCAACCCCUUCCUGCUAAUGGCUAGAGACAGAGCACCCUCCUCUCUGUCCGAGUGAUGCAAGCAGCCCUUUUAUCUGGCAUACCUGCCAGGCAGCAGAAAAAGCUAGGUUAAACUGGUCUGAGGUUGACUCAAGCCAAUGUGGACUGGUCUUGAGUGGAAUAACAACCUGAUCCCAUCUGACAUUUCUCCUGGUACAACUCAACAGUAGUCUUCCUCCUUCAGCCAAUAGCAGUGUGACAAAGUCUGGCUUAAUUACAACCCUGAAGUAAAAAGAAUUUCUUUAUUA